rnacentral:rRNA from 1 species
UACGAAGGGGGCUAGCGUUGUUCGGAUUUACUGGGCGUAAAGGGCGCGUAGGCGGCCACCGCAAGUCGAUUGUGAAAUCUCCGGGCUUAACUCGGAAAGGUCAACCGAUACUGCGGGGCUAGAGUGCAGAAGGGGCAACUGGAAUUCUCGGUGUAGCGGUGAAAUGCGUAGAUAUCGAGAGGAACACCUGCGGCGAAGGCGGGUUGCUGGGCUGACACUGACGCUGAUGUGCGAAAGCUAGGGGAGCGAACGGG